rnacentral:rRNA from 1 species
GACGAACGCUGGCGGCGUGCUUAACACAUGCAAGUCGAACGCUGAAGACCUGGCUUUUGUUGGGUUGGAUGAGUGGCGAACGGGUGAGUAACACGUGAGUAACCUGCCCUCUUCUUUGGGAUAACGCCCGGAAACGGGUGCUAAUACUGGAUAUUCACUGGCCUUCGCAUGGGGGUUGGUGGAAAGGUUUGUUCUGGUGGGGGAUGGGCUCGCGGCCUAUCAGCUUGUUGGUGGGGUGAUGGCCUACCAAGGCUUUGACGGGUAGCCGGCCUGAGAGGGUGGCCGGUCACAUUGGGACUGAGAUACGGCCCAGACUCCUACGGGAGGCAGCAGUGGGGAAUAUUGCACAAUGGGCGAAAGCCUGAUGCAGCGACGCCGCGUGAGGGAUGGAGGCCUUCGGGUUGUAAACCUCUUUCGCUCAUGGUCAAGCCGCAACUGUGGGUUGUGGUGAGGGUAGUGGGUAAAGAAGCGCCGGCUAACUACGUG